rnacentral:rRNA from 1 species
AGUGAACGCUGGCGGUAGGCCUAACACAUGCAAGUCGAACGGAAGCACAGUAAGAGCUUGCUCUUACGGGUGGCGAGUGGCGGACGGGUGAGGAAUACAUCGGAAUCUACUUUUUCGUGGGGGAUAACGUAGGGACACUUACGCUAAUACCGAAUAUGACCUACGGGUGAAAGCAGGGGAUCUUCGGACCUUGCGCGAUUGAAUGAGCCGAUGUCGGAUUAGCUAGUUGGCGGGGUAAAGGCCCACCAAGGCGACGAUCCGUAGCUGGUCUGAGAGGAUGAUCAGCCACACUGGAACUGAGACACGGUCCAGACUCCUACGGGAGGCAGCAGUGGGGAAUAUUGGACAAUGGGCGCAAGCCUGAUCCAGCCAUACCGCGUGGGUGAAGAAGGCCUUCGGGUUGUAAAGCCCUUUUGUUGGGAAAGAAAAGCAGCAGGUUAAUACCCCGCUGUUCUGACGGUACCCAAAGAAUAAGCACCGGCUAACUUCGUG